CAAGUCGAACGGAACUCUUCGGAGUUCAGUGGCGGACGGGUGAGUAACGCGUGAGAAUCUGCCUAGAGGAUGGGGACAACCACGGGAAACUGUGGCUAAUACCCAAUGAGCGGAGACGUUAAAGAUUUAUCGCCUCUAGAGGAGCUCGCGUCUGAUUAGCUAGUUGGUGGGGUAAAAGCCUACCAAGGCGACGAUCAGUAGCUGGUCUGAGAGGACAACCAGCCACACUGGGACUGAGACACGGCCCAGACUCCUACGGGAGGCAGCAGUGGGGAAUUUUCCGCAAUGGGCGAAAGCCUGACGGAGCAAUACCGCGUGAGGGAGGAAGGCUCUUGGGUCGUAAACCUCUUUUCUCAGGGAAGAAGAAAGUGACGGUACCUGAGGAAUCAGCCUCGGCUAACUCCGUGCCAGCAGCCGCGGUAAUACGGAGGAGGCAAGCGUUAUCCGGAAUUAUUGGGCGUAAAGCGUCCGUAGGUGGCUCUUCAAGUCUGCUGUCAAAGAGUGGGGCUUAACCCUGCAAAGGCAGUGGAAACUGAAAGGCUAGAGAGCCGUAGGGGUAGAGGGAAUUCCCGGUGUAGCGGUGAAAUGCGUAGAGAUCGGGAAGAACAUCGGUGGCGAAAGCGCUCUACUGGACGGUAUCUGACACUGAGGGACGAAAGCUAGGGGAGCGAAUGGGAUUAGAUACCCCAGUAGUCCUAGCCGUAAACGAUGGAUACUAGGCGUGGCUUGUAUCGACCCGAGCCGUGCCGGAGCUAACGCGUUAAGUAUCCCGCCUGGGGAGUACGCACGCAAGUGUGAAACUCAAAGGAAUUGACGGGGGCCCGCACAAGCGGUGGAGUAUGUGGUUUAAUUCGAUGCAACGCGAAGAACCUUACCAGGGCUUGACAUGUCGCGAAUCUCCGGG
rnacentral:rRNA from 1 species